rnacentral:lncRNA from 1 species
CUUAUGAAUUAAGUUAUUGUAUGGAAUUAGGAUAGUGAAUUCUUUCAAAAAUCGCUGAACUUAUACCAUAGUCACGGACUGCUCAUCAAACUUCAUUUUGCUUCAGAGUACUCACUCAACUUUGCCCGUUUGCUCUCCAUCUACCACUGCCAAAAAUCUGUUUGUUGGUCGCUGACGUGGCUGAUAAAAUAUGCCACCCGUUAACUUGGGAGAAAAAUGUGGUCUUCUGCCUAUUUAGCAAAAUCGGGUGUCUGACAGACGAUUUUGUCCCUUUAGCUUAAAUAAAACGGGGGACAAACGAUUUCUGUACUUCAAAGCUUUGGUUGAGUCUGAUUUUCCCUAAAUCGAUUGACGAACUACGUCUUCUUCCAAGCACGAAGUCUGUCUUGCACACACGGUUGAACCUACACAACCAGGGGUGUUGUGUUAAAGCUGAAAAAUUCCUCCCCUCUCUACGGACCGCCUAAUUUUUUCUUCUGCAGCCAUCUCGUUGUUAUAGCUUUGUGGCGGCAAUAUCUGAAGUUUUUGGGGAUAUUGGGUCAAUAAGGUACUGUUAUUGUGAAGCAAUUGUGCAUCUGAGAACACCAGAAAUUCUGCAAAUUGAUGAAAAAUAUACAAAAUUGCGUUUUUGGGCAUUGUCGUCCUCAUUGUAAUCCGGCCAUUCUGUUGAAGAAUUGAAUCUUAUGUAUUAAUUAUGGUUUUUGUAAUGUUAGUCUGAAUCCUAUGUAUUGACUAUUAUGUUGUAAUCAUAGCUUUGAAUUUGAUUAGUAGUGUGUGCCUACAACUGAGUUUGAAAUUGGUUAUAAUCAACACUUGUGUUUGCGGACGGAGUGUGUAAAGUUGGAGAAGCAUUUUUAUGCAUUGUCCUCUUCUUUGUAAUCCAGGGUUCAACAGGUAGGAAAAACUUACAGAUUUGGGAUUAUGGAUUAUGGAAGAAGAAUUUGGGUAAUCGAUUUAGAGGUUGACUGAGUCUUGAUUCCUGAUUGUUGAAGACGUCCAUGGUUUUUUCAGAUUAUAGAAAUCGGUUUUUGUUUUUUUCCCCCCCUUUUUAUUUAAGCUAAUGGGGAAAAAAUUGUUUUUCCAUUUUAUUUUUCAAAAAUUGGUUUUUUAUUUUAUUUUUUUGCUGAAUAGGAAGAUGUCAUUUUUCUCCCAAGUUAACGAUCAUUAGAUGCCACCUAGGAAUUUCGUUUGCCAUGUAAGCAACCCACAAACAGAUUUUCUGACGGUGGUGGAUGGAGAGCAAACGAGUGAAGUUGAGUUAGUACUAUGAAGCAGAAUGAAGUUUGAUGAGCAGUCCGUGACCAUGGCAUAAGUUCGAUGAUUUUUGAAACAAUUCACUCAGAAUUAGGGGUUUUUUGGAUGUUGGUUGAAUUUAUGGUUUAUUAGAAUAUGCAUUUCCAUUGUGGAUUAUUAGAAUAUACAUGCUCAUUGUAGGUUGAAUUUGUGGAUUGAUAUGUUCAAUUUAUUGUAAUGUGG